UGAAUGGGACUCUGUGGGGAAAUGAAACCCACUCAGAAGGGAACAGGAGAAAUAACCCAGGAUAUCCAGAGAGCACCAGCCUGAUGCUUCAUUCCUGUCUGUCUAAUGAGAAUAUUGAGUCCUUUCAAUAUCACUGCCGGAUUGAGACACAGGUUCAUGCUACUGAAUUUUAAAGUGAGCAAUACCGAGACAUACUGCCAGAAGUGCUGGUUGAUAAGGUGAUGAAGUUAGACUGGCCAGGCCCAAAUGAGGAAAAAUGUUCUCACCCCAAAGAGGUCAAGUGCCUGUGUGAAGAUUGGAGAGACAAUUUUACUCUGUGUUUUGAUCUAGCUGUGGAGGAUAAAUUAGAGGAAAUGAAGGCCAAGAUGUGAUUGUUGUCAAAGGUAGGGGAGGAGAGGUCUGCACUCGCGUUCCAGGACAUGUUCGAUACACUGCAGGCACACUUCAAGCCCGGAAGUGAAUGAGCUGAGUGCUUUUGGAUCUCUACAUGCAACCAGGGUUAGGGGAAUCCACUGACACUUGCUCAAUGGAGCUGAGAAUGCUGAGUUUAGGGGCUCUCUCAAGUACAGGGCAGCUGAUUAGUGAAUUUUCAAUCCAUUCCAUUACACAAGAUGGAGAUAAUGAAGUUGCUGUUUAGAAAUAGCAAUGAACAGCCAAAACAGAAGAGCCCAGACCUGAGAAAGAGUGGGUGGGAUGUGGAUUGGAAAAUCAUGUCUAUAUUCAGUCAAUGACAAACAGCAGGUUGAGAUGAGCCAUGCGUGGUCAAGACUGGGUCAGACUCACAACGUCUGUCGAGCUCACUGCACCUUGUACCAGGUGAGGUUGAUUCAGUGUAUGUUGGUGCCAGGGUGUCCUGUGACAUUUCACUUGACUUGAUGUGGCAGCCGUCCCGAGGUGGUGCAGUUGAAACCAACGAGCCAUGUGCUGAUCAUAUACAACCAGCCGGCACUGGAAGCAGGCUGUGACAUGCCCGGAGAAGGUAAUGAACGCAAAGGAACAUGGGAGGAACGAUGGAAUUUUCAAAAAAUAAAGAAUCACUUUAUUUGACACAUGUAAUCAAAACAUUGAAAUGUGUUGUUUGCAUCAACAGCCAACACAGUCCAAGGGUGUGCUGGGGGCUGCCCGCAAGUGUUGCUCUGCUUUCAACACCAACACUGCAAGCCACAGCUUACUAAACCAUACGUCACUGGAGCGUAUGUGGGAGGAAACUGGAGCACCUACAGGAAACGCCCGCGGUCACGGGGAGAACAUCCUCACAGGGAAUUGAACCCCAAUUGCUGAAGCUGUAAAGCGCCAUGCCAACCACUAAGCUGCCUUGCCACUCCUUGUAGAGACAGGAAAGAUAAUCACUCCCAUAAUCGGAACUGGUAAAGAUGCAGUGAGAUGUCCUGAAGCUUGUUCCAGUGCGACACCAGCCACGGAUCAGUCUGUCUACCUCUGCACCACAACGGGUGCCGAGGAUACAAAGCCAGAGACAGUCAGCGUGGUGAGCCACAGGUCAAUCUCUCACCACUGGCUGGAGAUGGAGAAGGCCACCAGACAAGUCAAUGGAUGAGAAGGCUAGAAUAUUAGACCACACUUGCAGUAUUGUGAGCAGUUUAGGACCCCUUAUCCAAGAAAGAAAAAUGUGCUGGCAAUGGAGAGAUUCCAGAGGAACUUCACGAGAAUGAUCCUGGUAAUGAAAGGGUUAACAUAUGAGGAGCUCUUGAUGUCUCGGAGCCUGUACUCUCUGCCGUUUAGAAGAAUGGGGGGGAAUCUCAUUGAAACCCACUGAAUAUUGAAAGCCCUAGACAGAGUGGACAUGGAGAGGGUGUUUCCUGUAGUGGGGUAGUUUAGGACCAGGGGACACAGCCUCAGAAUAGAAGACAUUCCUUUAGAACAGAGACGUUGAGGAGUUUCUUGAGCCAAAGGGUGGUGAAUCAGUGGAAUUCAUUGCCACAGAUGGCUGUGUAGGCUAAGUCAAUGGGUACAUUUAAAGUGGAGGUUGAUAGGUUCUUGAUUAGUGUGUGUGUUAAAUGUCACAAGCUUUGAUCCUACUCACCAGCCACAAGGCUGACAUCAGGAGUGUGAUGGAACACUUUCACUUGCCUGGAUGAGUGCAACUUCAACAACACAGAGGCUCAGCAGCAAACAGGAUGUAGGAGCCCACUUGUCAAGCUCCCCAUCCACAACCACUCACUCCCUCUGUCACUAACACACAGUGGCAACAAUCUGUACCAUCUACACGACCCACUGCAGCCACUCACCAACCCUCCCUAGACAACACCCUCCAAACCCACAACCCCUACCAGCCAGAAGGACAAGGAAGGCGUCCGUUGAUCAGGGUCAAUCACGGAUGUCUACAUGAUACAGGGCAGUACGAUAUGGAGAGAAAACUCUUGCCCAGAUAGCAAGCUCCCCUCGCCAAACAACUGAUGAACCCAAAGAACGGCAGAGACCGAUAAAGUCUAGCACCAGUGGAGUUGCAGGAGUUACCAGUCAGCAUUGAACUCAACAUGGGACUGCCUUAGGGGCUCCAGCUCUGGAUUUUUCCCUUGGGGUUUACUCCCAAAGACUUCUACAUGAGUGGGUAAUAGCUGAAAGGCAGCAGAAGUUUGAGAUCAAGAGUUUUCCUUCUCCCAGAUGAGCUGCCAACCACGACUGAUGAACCCCAUCUGCCCGAAGGGACUGGUUUUAAGUGCCAGUAACCCACCUUUGCCCCUUUCUCCUGUCAGUAGAAGCAGUUCCACCGGGCUCAGUGCUAGGCCACACGUGAAGGUCAGGAGCUGGACUUGAUUGUCACAGGCUAUUUGAGGCACAUGCCUUUGGGAGUAUUUAACAGGUAGUGGGAGCUUGUUCCCAUUACCACCCCCAGCUAUAACGACCUGAAGGGACCAGAAGGACAAGGGCAGCAAAAGCAAAGGAAUAUCUUCAAAUGGAAGUUGCCCUCCGAGCCACACUCCAUGCUGACUUGGAAGUAUAUCACUGCUACUUCACCUUCGCUGGGUCAGAAUCGUGGAGCUCUGUCCCCAGUGCAUGCACCUGCCACUCAAGCAGUGAAGUUGUUCAAGAAGGCAGCUCAUCGGCCACCCUCUCGAGAGCAACUCGGGAUUGGCAAUAAAUAUUCUAGUUAUACGUACCUGGUCUGAAUUACAG